rnacentral:lncRNA from 1 species
GGCCUGAGGGGUCCGGAGGGGAUCGAGGGGGGGCAUUUGGGGGAUCCCGGAGUGGAAUUUGUGGGGGUUCGGCGGGGCCUGGCGUCACUCCCCCCCUCCCCCCCGCAGAGGCUCAGCCUGGAGCAGAGAACGGAGCGUCUGGUGCAAAGGAGCCAGGCCCUGCUCGGGCCCCGCCCCCGCGGGCCAGAGAGGGCGAAGCCUCCGCUUGGCUCAGCCCCCUGCAGCUCCACCCUCGAUGACCCCCUCGAACGAUGGCGCUUGAGGCGGUGCCGUGGGGAGGAGACAGCGCUGGACACGCCCCUGGUAGGCGGGGCCCUGCUGGGCGCUGCUGCUCCCCAGGGUGCCCUGCAGGGAGUGCCACAGGGCCGGUCACGUGACCCACCGGGGGGCCUGCAAGGGGCCGUGCCGUGGGAAUCAUGUGACCCCCCUGAGGCCCUUUGGCCAAUCAGGAGACACUUCCGCGGGCACCAGGCGGCGCCUUCACCCCAGGCCAUCUCCCAGGAACCCUUAUGGCAGGAGCCCUGUUGGAGGUCUCAUGACUCCCACAAGGCCCUCUGGCCAAUGAGGAGCAGUUCUCCAGAUACCUUGCGGGGGGCACUAUAUUCACAGUCCCGUGACGCGCCGUGGCAAAUCAGCAGCAGCUGCUGUGCAUCUCUGCACCAGGGGGCGGCACCCGGUGGAAAGCGAGGGUCCCACGAACCUUUGCGGCAGGAGCCAUUUUGGGGGUCACAUGACUGCCUCGGGCAUCUGCAGUGUGUGCCAUGGUGGGAGUCACGUGACUCCCGGGGCGCCCCGCCGUCUGCACCGGAGGCGCUUCCUGAGCCCCUGCGCCGGGGAGGGCCGGGCUUCAGGUCACGUGACCGGUGUGAGGCCCCUCAGCCAAUCAGGAGCAGUGCUCAUGAUGCCCUACAGGAGGCGCCGUUGCAGGAGCCACUGGGUGAGGCAACAGAGGAGCCCUUGUGGGCAAGGGAGUCACUUGAGGGCUGCUGGGCAUUUGUGGGCCAGGCGGGGUCAGUGGUGGGGCUGGAGCGGGCACUUGG